rnacentral:rRNA from 1 species
CCUACGGGAGGCUGCAGUGGGGAAUAUUGGACAAUGGGCGAAAGCCUGAUCCAGCCAUGCCGCGUGUGUGAAGAAGGCCUUCGGGUUGUAAAGCACUUUCAGUGGGGAAGAAAGCCUUGGGGCUAAUACCCUCGAGGAAGGACAUCACCCACAGAAGAAGCACCGGCUAACUCCGUGCCAGCAGCCGCGGUAAUACGGGAGGGUGCGAGCGUUAAUCGGAAUUACUGGGCGUAAAGCGCGCGUAGGCGGUCUGAUAAGCCGGUUGUGAAAGCCCCGGGCUCAACCUGGGAACGGCAUCCGGAACUGUCAGGCUAGAGUGCAGGAGAGGAAGGUAGAAUUCCCGGUGUAGCGGUGAAAUGCGUAGAGAUCGGGAGGAAUACCAGUGGCGAAGGCGGCCUUCUGGACUGACACUGACGCUGAGGUGCGAAAGCGUGGGUAGCAAACAGGAUUAGAUACCCUAGUAGUC